rnacentral:rRNA from 1 species
UACGUAGGGAGCAAGCGUUGUCCGGAAUCAUUGGGCGUAAAGCGCGCGUAGGCGGCCCUGUAAGUCCGUUGUGAAAGUCAAAGGCUCAACCUUUGAAAGCCGAUGGAUACUGCAGGGCUGGAGUCCGGAAGAGGCGAGUGGAAUUCAUGGUGUAGCGGUGGAAUGCGCAGAUAUCAGGAAGAACACCAACGGCGAAGGCAGCUCGCUGGGACGGAACUGACGCUAAGGCGCGAAAGCGUGGGGAGCGAACAGG